rnacentral:lncRNA from 1 species
GUGUGUGUGUGUGUGUGUGUGUGUCGAGUGGAGUGUGUACGGAGUGUGUGUGUGUGUUGGAGUGUGUGUGUGUGUGUGUGUCUGUGUGUGUGUGUCUGUGUGUGUGUGUGUCUGUGUGUGUGUCUGUGUGUGUGUGUGUGUGUGUGUGUGUGUGUGUGUGUGUGUGUGUGUGUGUGUGUGUGUGUGUGUGUGUGUGUGUCUGUGUGUGUGUGUGUGUGUGUGUGUGUGUGUGUGUGUGUGUGUGUGUGUGUGUGUGUGUGUGUGUGUGUGUCACUACCAUAACAUUCAGGUACGGAACACAUUUAAAAGCGGUGUCUUGUUGCUGCUGCUGCUUUCAAAGCAGGUUUUUUUUAUUUCCUGACAACCAAAACGUCUUUGUUAGAGAUAGUAGGAUAUCAGUGAGGUGGGUCACCGAGGUAGCCGGCCCUUUCAACACGCUACACUUUAUAAAACCCUGUCAGCUAUAGACCAACCUUAUCCACAGGCUGAGGUGAACAAACCUCUGGUAUCUACGGCCAUGUUAGCUUCAUUGUUUAGAUUGUAUUAUCGUUUUAUCAAUAACCGCAGUCAAAAGCUGCCAGCUGCAUUCUAUUCAAUCCCUCAAACCAAUAAACACAGAGGAAGGUUCUCCUCAGAACAACAGACAGAGGAAGGUUCUCAUCAGAACAACAGACAGAGGAAGGUUCUCCUCAGGACAACAGACAGAGGAAGGUUCUCCAGAGAACAACAGACAGAGGAAGGUUCUCAUCAGAACAACAGACAGAGGAAGGUUCUCCUCAGAACAACAGACACAGGAAGUGGUUUGAUUUUAAUUAAGGAAAGACACUAUCUGCAUCUCUUACUUUCUCUCUCUUUUUUUUUAAUAGAAAUCAUUUUUUGCACAAUAUGAAAAAAUGUUCCUCACAUCUAAGACGAACUAACAUGGUAAAGGAAGUAAAGAAAGGAAGGAGAAGCAUUCAGCAUGGUGGUGUAUAAAUGAGUCUGAUCAGUAAAGACAGACUUCAUCACAGUAGGCAAUGGGAUGGAGACUGGUCCAGGGUCCUUUGUCUUGGGAAUGUCCACGGUAUUUAGCUGUGGGGGAAAUGAGGGAUUGAUAUGAGUUUCAUUUGUUGUUUUGUGAAGUUAUAA